rnacentral:rRNA from 1 species
UACGGAGGGUGCGAGCGUUGUCCGGAAUCAUUGGGCGUAAAGGGCGCGUAGGUGGCGGGACAAGCGUGCGGUGAAAGCCCGGGGCUCAACCCCGGAAUUGCCUUUGAGACUGCAUAGCUUGAACACGGGAGAGGUGAGUGGAAUUCCGAGUGUAGAGGUGAAAUUCGUAGAUAUUCGGAAGAACACCAGUGGCGAAGGCGGCUCACUGGACCGUUGUUGACGCUGAGGUGCGAAAGCGUGGGGAGCAAACAGG